UGGUAAUGAUUAGAUCUUAUCCAAGAUUCUGUGCGUAAUCGGUGAAGUAAAUAAAUGAAAAUGGUUGAAUUUCUUGAUAUGAGCGG